UUAUUUUGUAGGUGAGACUUCUACAUUAGCUAUGGAAGAAGAGGCCAAAGAUCAAAUACUAUGUCUGCACCAUCAGCAAGACAUUUGCCAAACCAGGGCAAUGCAUGUACUUUCACAUGGAGUACACUGAGGACAAGCUGCAGAAAUACAUCACGAAGAUGAUGACACACUGCCACUCAAUCUCGGAGACGGAACCGUGAGCUGCGACAGUCGCUACAUGCUUGGAACCGACAAGAGGGCCACCACAUCAUGACGAAAUGUCAUGGUUUCGCCAUCACGCCAACAUCAAAAGAGGGUGACAUGUGCUUCUUCCAUUUCAAGUGCAAGGAAGGGCGCCGCCUCUCCUUCACUAACCAGACUCUAGGCAUAACGUCAUCAGUAGGACCUGCCUUCUAUAUAUGACUUGACGAUUCUGUGUUGUGAUGGUCCGAUGAACUCUGCUUCUCUUUUGGAGACCGCCUA